AUGAAGAAAUAUUUCUUCGGCUAUGGAUCCUUCUCUAUUAAGGACGGCUCAGAAAUUAGAUUCUGGGAGGACAAGUGCCUAGGAAAUACCACACUCCGAGAACAAUAUCAGGCUCUAUACAACAUUGUGCGCCACAAGGGUGAUACUAUCGCCACGGUAAUGGAAUCAUUUCCGCCUAAUGUGACGUUCAGAAGAAAUUUAGUUGGACCCAGACUCCAGUCGUGGAACAUCCUGCUCCAACGGUUGUCCAUGGUGCAAUUGUCACAUGCGUCUGAUGUAUUCCGAUGGAAUCUCCAUGGGAAUGGACAAUUCUCAGUUGAGUCCAUGUAUAGAGCGUUAAUCUAGUCUGAUAUGCCAGUUGAUAAUAACAAGAAGAUCUGGAAGAUGAAGAUACCCCUUAAGAAUAAAAUCUUUGCAUGGUAUAUUCAUCGCGGAGUCAUUCUUACAAAAGAUAACCUUAUUAAGAGGAAUUGGCAAGGAAUUUCGCAAUGUGUCUUUUUUCACCAUGAUGAGACAAUAAAACAUUUAUUCUUCCAAUGCAAUUUGGCUCGUUCUGUAUGGUCAGUCAUCCAAAUAGCUUCUGGGUUGUAUCCUCCUUGUAGUGUUGCUAAUGUAUUUGACAUCUGGUUAUAUGGGAUUGAUCACAUGUUUACAACUCUUCUCAGGGUGGGAGCGCUAGCCGUUAUUUGGUCGCUUUAG
rnacentral:rRNA from 1 species